CUAGGUAUGGUGGAGUUGGUAACACGCUACAUUUGGGAUGUAGAGACCGCAAGUUCGAACCUUGCUAUCUAGA
rnacentral:tRNA from 1 species